ACGAACGCUGGCGGCGUGCCUAACACAUGCAAGUCGAGCGGGGGGAGUCCUGACAGCUUGCUGUGAGGGUCUCCUAGCGGCGGACGGGUGAGUAACGCGUGGGCAACCUACCCGCGAAUCGGGGACGAACAGUGGGAAACCGCCGCUAAUACCGGAUGAGCUUUGCCUGUCGCAUGGCAGGCAAAGGAAAGGCAGCCCUCCUGCUUAGCAAGCUGCUGUUCGCGGAUGGGCCCGCGUCCCAUUAGCUAGUUGGUGGAGGUAACGGCCCACCAAGGCGACGAUGGGUAGCCG
rnacentral:rRNA from 1 species